AGUGAACGCUGGCGGUAGGCCUAACACAUGCAAGUCGAACGGCAGCACAGGAGAGCUUGCUCUCUGGGUGGCGAGUGGCGGACGGGUGAGGAAUACAUCGGAAUCUACCUUUUCGUGGGGGAUAACGUAGGGAAACUUACGCUAAUACCGCAUACGACCUACGGGUGAAAGUGGGGGACCGCAAGGCCUCACGCGAUCGG
rnacentral:rRNA from 1 species